UCAUGGUGCAUGCCCAAAUGCCAUCCCAGACCUCUGAGCCAUGGUGACACAGACAUAGCGGGCGAGCACUCUGAACUCCCCAGAAGGCUUUGUCUGGAGAGCUACUGAGGUUUUCUACCAUCUAGUCUUGGGAUGCUGAAG
rnacentral:lncRNA from 1 species